GGCACUUGAUCCAAAGAGAGCCUCUGAAAUGGCUGCACCCGAUAUCUCAGCAGGUUACCCCAUAGAGUGUUGAGUGGGCAACUCAAUUAUUCCCUCACCUGAAGAAGUCUGAAAGCAAGACGAAGAGAGUCCUUUUGCAAGAGUGAUGUACAAAGCCCUACGGACAUACAGACUUCGUGUGCAAGUCCUGUGGAGGAGAGGAGAUGAGAGAGCAAUCGAGUCAAGGUCUCACUAGGAUGUCCAGGCUGGCCUCGAACUCCUGGGCUCAAGCAAUCCACCUGCCUUGGCCUCUGAAAGUGCAGGAAUUACAGCUGCUGUGCCCUGAGGGGUGAGGGAAAUGUGGUCGCCUAAAACACCAUCAAAGGUUGCUGCUUAAACACUUCCCUCAGCCAUAUAUGAAGGCUAAAUCAGAUAAAGAUCCCAGGAAGUGUGCAACAGGCACAAGAUUCAAAGGAAGCAGGCUGCUUUCUUGCAGCAAGACAAGGCAAGUUGGAAGAGAGGAUUAUUUUUCUUCUUCAAAGCUCUCACCCUCAGGAGGAUUCCUAUCAACUACUUUGGGAAAGAGUUUUUGAUUUGUGCUGGAUUGUUGCUGAGCAUUAAGGACAUCCUACCAAAGUCCAGGAAACUGCUAAUUAAUCCUGCAGGAGACUGCAAAGACACACUUGCCAUUCAUCCAGCAAGUGCUAUUUAAAAGCCUGUUGUGAGCAUCUGAGUGCAUUUGGGCUAAAGAGCUCAUGGACUAGACGCAACAGGAGCUAUACAGACUACCAGUGCACCACCAGCGUGCACCAGAAUGCAUGUCCCAGCAAACAACUCUCAAUUGGCCAAUUUGCAACAGGGCACCCUUUAGCCUCUUUGGCCCUGGUCAUUUCCUUCCCACCCUGCCCUUUUGGAGGCAUCAACAUUGAGCUCAAAA
rnacentral:lncRNA from 1 species